GAGAGUGGAAUUCCACGUGUAGCGGUGAAAGGCGUAGAUAUGUGGAGGAACACCAGUGGCGAAGGCGACUCUCUGGUCUGUAACUGACGCUGAGGCGCGAAAGCGUGGGGAGCAAACAGGAUUAGAUACCCUGGUAGUCCACGCCGUAAACGAUGAGUGCUAAGUGUUAGGGGGUUUCCGCCCCUUAGUGCUGCAGCUAACGCAUUAAGCACUCCGCCUGGGGAGUACGACCGCAAGGUUGAAACUCAAAGGAAU
rnacentral:rRNA from 1 species